GGUAGAGACGGGUUUCACCAUGUUGGCCAGGCUGGUCUCAAAUUCCUGACCUCAAGUGAUCUGCCUGCCUUGGCCUCCCAAAGUGCUAGAAAAUUACAGGGGUGAGCCACCGCACCUGGCCUCAGAUGAGGUUUUAGCCAGUCAGAAGAUGGCUCUGACACUUUCGUUGCUAGUUGAAAAGUCUGUGUGGCCAGGUGUGGUGGCUCACACCUAUAAUCCCAGUGCUUUGGGAGGCCGAGGUGGGAGGAUUGCUUGAGGCCAGGACAUUGAAACCAACCUGGGCAACAUAGCAAAACCCUAUUUCUAUAACAAAUUUUUAAAAAAUUAGACAGAAUGGCGGUGUGUGCCUGUACUCCCAGCUACUUGGGAGGCUCAGACAGGAGGAUCACUUGAGCCUAAGAGGUUGAGGCUGCAGUGUGCCAUGAUCAUGCCAGUGUACUCCAGCCUAGGUGAUAGAGCCAGACCCUGUCCCUAAAAAAGAAAGGAAAAGAAAAAAGGAAAAUUAAAAAAAAGGAAAACAAAAGAAAAAAGUCUGUUUGAAGAGGCCCAUGAGACUGGGGAGUCCCUAGGUUUGACGUAGACUUUGCCUCACAGCCCCAGAAUAAACCUGAGGGAAGUUUCUCCCUUUGAACAGGAAGAAGGGGUGGGCCAGAGGCCUCUAUUCUGAGGGACGCUGGGGUGGGGACUGAGAGGACAUUGAGGGCAUCUUCAGGUUCCUCUCUGCCUAUUCCUUCUUGCCCCCAAUUCCGUUCUAGGUCUGAGUUUGAUGUUCCUCCUUUAUGCUUCCAUCGCACCAGUGGAGACCCUCCUUAGACUGGGGGUUACCCUGAUCCUGAGUACACCACUGCUGCUAGAAGCCCAGUAACAACGUUCCCAGUCUCAGGUGAUCUAAACCUAUGCACAGAAUAAUACAGAAUAUUAGAGUGGCUCAAUGCUUUCAUGUGCCACUGUUGCAAACCUCUUGCUACUGUCUCUUCCCUGUUUCUUUUUACCUGGUAAACAUAUUCUGCUUUUAGAUCCUCUCUAUCUUCUACUUUACUAAUAUACAGGGAAGAGUGGGAGGAAGGGAGACAAGAAGAGAGGUGGAGAUAUUUAUUGUCUUGGUUACGAUUACCAGUAAUGUUUGUCAGGCAUUGUUUUAAUUGCUUUAUAACCAUUAGUACUAUCCCUAGCCAUGGGCAACGUAAGCCUGAUAAGUAAGAAAUUUAUUUAUAAAAACACAUUGGUACCUCUGCCAUUUUGGAUUUGAUGUUUAGGGCUGGCCCAAUAUGACCUGUAACUAAACAUUUGCUCCAUCAUUAAUACGAUUCAGCCCCCAGGAAAUUCUUCUUCAUAGCUUUUGCUCUCUAUCCUCAAAACUAAAUGUGACGGUGUCUGAAUACUGUAAAAUUUGUGUAUUGUGCCUUUGCUCAUAUCAGAUGCACCUGUUUCAUGGUUCAGGGAGGAUUUAAGCAGCUGAAGAACUUACAAGAGAAAAGUCAACAAAUACUUUCACUCAAAGAUCAUGAAUGCAAUACCUUCUUGCAUAAUAAAGAAUCACUUGCCAGUAGGGCUGGGUGUCAACCUUUUUUUUUUUUCUUGUUGCUCCUAUUAGCCUGAUAGUUACACAUAACAGUGGAGGAGGCUUUUGUAAUACUAAACUAGUCAUAUUAAUGUUAAAUUUGUAUAUGUGAAGAUCUAGAUGUAAAAUGCAUAAAACGUGAUCCACAUUUUGCAAAGAGAAGCCUGGGGGUGAAAAGGAGUUCAGUAAUUUGUUGACUCUCAUAAAGCACAUUAGUGGUAGAACUGCAACUCACCAUCAUUUCCUUCUAAGAACUUUGCUCUUCUCACCAAAACUUAAGGCCCCUCAGAGUGUCUAAUAGAAGUGAACAUUUCUGUGACAAUUUUCUGUUCCCUGAAAUAUGAUCCUCACUUAAUUUGCCCUACUAAAAAUCCCAAGUAUAAGAACAAUAGGUUGUAAGAUGUCUACUCUUGAAUCACAUUUGUCUUUUGCUUCUUAAAACCCCUAAGCCAUUCAAUCUUCAGCUAUUCAGAAAUCUUCACCCCAAAUGUUCAUCUAGUGCAAUUUGAAGAAGAAACAGUGCCAGGCAUUGGAGUGAGAAUCUUCACAGAAAAAUGUCUGCCCAGAGGCAGAUGAGGUCCUUCAGCUCCAGUGCUGAUUGGUUCCUUUCCUAGGGACUCCCCAAUCCUACCACACAUGGAAACAUCCAGAGGUUUUUAUUCUUUCCGGCGGGUACAUAAGAUCCAUUAGGUUUGAGCUGUGUUGACUACCACUGCUUUUUCCUUGGUCUCAAUUAUGUCUUGGAAGAUGGCUCUGCAGAUCCCUGGAGGCUUUUGGGCAGCAGCUGUGACCGUGAUGCUGGUGAUGCUGAGCACCCCAGUGGCUGAGGCCAGAGACUUUCCCAAGGAUUUCUUGGUCCAGUUUAAGGGCAUGUGCUACUUCACCAACGGGACAGAGCGCGUGCGGGGUGUGGCCAGAUACAUCUAUAACCGCGAGGAGUACGGGCGCUUCGACAGCGACGUUGGGGAGUUCCAGGCGGUGACCGAGCUGGGGCGGAGCAUCGAGGACUGGAACAACUAUAAGGACUUCUUGGAGCAGGAGCGGGCCGCGGUGGACAAGGUGUGCAGACACAACUACGAGGCGGAGCUACGCACGACCUUGCAGCGGCAAGUGGAGCCCACAGUGACCAUCUCCCCAUCCAGGACAGAGGCCCUCAACCACCACAACCUGCUGGUCUGCUCGGUGACAGAUUUCUAUCCAGCCCAGAUCAAAGUCCGGUGGUUUCGGAAUGACCAGGAGGAGACAGCCGGUGUUGUGUCCACCUCCCUCAUUAGGAACGGUGACUGGACCUUCCAGAUUCUGGUGAUGCUGGAAAUAACUCCCCAGCAUGGAGACAUCUACACCUGCCACGUGGAGCACCCCAGCCUCCAGAGCCCCAUCACCGUGGAGUGGCGGGCUCAGUCUGAAUCUGCCCAGAGCAAGAUGCUGAGUGGUGUUGGAGGCUUCGUGCUGGGGCUGAUCUUCCUCGGGCUGGGCCUUAUCAUCCGUCACAGGGGUCAGAAAGGACCUCGAGGGCCUCCACCAGCAGGACUCCUGCACUGACUCCUGAGGACUUUUGUCUGGGAUUGGUCAUCACUCUUCUGUAAUGCCCACCUGCCCCUGCCCAGAAUUCCUAGCUGCCUGUGUCAUCCUGUCCCACUGAGGUCAGAGUCCUACAGUGGCUCACGCAGCCACAGGUCACCUUCUGUGAUCCCCACCCCAAGGCACUGGCGGUGACUCUGCUUCCUGCACUGACCCAGAGCCUCUGCCUGUGCACUGCAAGCUGUGUCUACUCAGGCCCCAAGGGGCAUCUCUGUUUCCAUUCUCCCCCCACAGACCUGUCAAGAGAAGCAUGACAAAUAAAAUCAUUUACCUGA